GAUGAACGCUGGCGGCGUGCCUAAUACAUGCAAGUCGAGCGAACGGACGAGAAGCUUGCUUCUCUGAUGUUAGCGGCGGACGGGUGAGUAACACGUGGAUAACCUACCUAUAAGACUGGGAUAACUUCGGGAAACCGUAGCUAAUACCGGAUAAUAUUUUGAACCGCAUGGUUCAAAAGUGAAAGACGGUCUUGCUGUCACUUAUAGGUGGAUCCGCGCUGCAUUAGCUAGUUGGUAAGGUAACGGCUUACCAAGGCAACGAUGCAUAGCCGACCUGAGAGGGUGAUCGGCCACACUGGAACUGAGACACGGUCCAGACUCCUACGGGAGGCAGCAGUAGGGAAUCUUCCGCAAAGGGCGAAAGCCUGACGGAGCAACGCCGCGUGAGUGAUGAAGGUCUUCGGAUCGUAAAACUCUGUUAUUAGGGAAGAACAUAUGUGUAAGUAACUGUGCACAUCUUGACGGUACCUAAUCAGAAAGCCACGGCUAACUACGUG
rnacentral:rRNA from 1 species